rnacentral:rRNA from 1 species
AGUCGAGCGGAACGAUGAUAGCUUGCUAUCAGGCGUCGAGCGGCGGACGGGUGAGUAAUACUUAGGAAUCUACCUAGUAGUGGGGGAUAGCACGGGGAAACUCGUAUUAAUACCGCAUACGACCUACGGGAGAAAGGGGGCAGUUUACUGCUCUCGCUAUUAGAUGAGCCUAAGUCGGAUUAGCUAGAUGGUGGGGUAAAGGCCUACCAUGGCGACGAUCUGUAGCUGGUCUGAGAGGAUGAUCAGCCACACCGGGACUGAGACACGGCCCGGACUCCUACGGGAGGCAGCAGUGGGGAAUAUUGGACAAUGGGGGAAACCCUGAUCCAGCCAUGCCGCGUGUGUGAAGAAGGCCUUUUGGUUGUAAAGCACUUUAAGCAGUGAAGAAGACUCCGUGGUUAAUACCCACGGACGAUGACAUUAGCUGCAGAAUAAGCACCGGCUAACUCUGUGCCAGCAGCCGCGGUAAUACAGAGGGUGCAAGCGUUAAUCGGAAUUACUGGGCGUAAAGGGAGCGUAGGUGGCUCGAUAAGUCAGAUGUGAAAUCCCCGGGCUCAACCUGGGAACUGCAUCUGAUACUGUUGAGCUAGAGUAUGUGAGAGGAAGGUAGAAUUCCAGGUGUAGCGGUGAAAUGCGUAGAGAUCUGGAGGAAUACCGAUGGCGAAGGCAGCCUUCUGGCAUAAUACUGACACUGAGGCUCGAAAGCGUGGGUAGCAAACAGGAUUAGAUACCCUGGUAGUCCACGCCGUAAACGAUGUCUACUAGUCGUUGGGUCCCUUGAGGACUUAGUGACGCAGCUAACGCAAUAAGUAGACCGCCUGGGGAGUACGGCCGCAAGGUUAAAACUCAAAUGAAUUGACGGGGGCCCGCACAAGCGGUGGAGCAUGUGGUUUAAUUCGAUGCAACGCGAAGAACCUUACCUGGUCUUGACAUAUCUAGAAUCCUGCAGAGAUGCGGGAGUGCCUUCGGGAAUUAGAAUACAGGUGCUGCAUGGCUGUCGUCAGCUCGUGUCGUGAGAUGUUGGGUUAAGUCCCGCAACGAGCGCAACCCUUGUCCUUAGUUACCAGCGGGUUAAGCCGGGAACUCUAAGGAUACUGCCAGUGACAAACUGGAGGAAGGCGGGGACGACGUCAAGUCAUCAUGGCCCUUACGACCAGGGCUACACACGUGCUACAAUGGUAGGUACAGAGGGCAGCUACACAGCGAUGUGAUGCGAAUCUCAAAAAGCCUAUCGUAGUCCAGAUUGGAGUCUGCAACUCGACUCCAUGAAGUAGGAAUCGCUAGUAAUCGCGGAUCAGAAUGCCGCGGUGAAUACGUUCCCGGGCCUUGUACACACCGCCCGUCACACCAUGGGAGUUGAUUGCACCAGAAGUGGAUAGCUUAACCUUCGGGGGAGCG